rnacentral:rRNA from 1 species
AGCCUAAAUCUAGCCCAAUCAUACCUCACACUAGAGUAACUAAAAACCCACCCAACCACCAAACUAAAGCAUUUUUAAAACUUAGUAUAGGCGAUAGAAAAGGACUCUUGGCGCGAUAGAGAGCUGUACCGUAAGGGAAAGAUGAAAUAACAAUGAAAAACCAAGCAACAAGAAGCAAAGAUUAGCCCUUGUACCUUUUGCAUCAUGAUUUAGCAAGAACAACCAAGCAAAGUGACCUUAAGCUUGCCUCCCCGAAACCCAAGCGAGCUACUCACAAGCAGCUAUUUUGAGCGAACCCGUCUCUGUUGCAAAAGAGUGGGACGACUUGUUAGUAGAGGUGAAAAGCCAACCGAGCUGGGUGAUAGCUGGUUGCCCGUGAAACGAAUCUAAGUUCUACCUUAACCCUACCUCCCUGCCAUGAACUCUUAGCAACUGUUUUAGUGUAAAAGGUUAAGAGUAAUUUAAAGGGGGUACAGCCCCUUUAAAAAAGAAUACAAUCUCUCCUAGCGGAUAAAAUUUUUUCCUGACAUCGUACCUCAGAACUGUAGGCUUUAAAGCAGCCAUCAACAAAGAAUGCGUCAAAGCUCCACCAAACUAAAAAUAUAAGAACACUAUGAAUCCCUAACCCAUAACGGGCUAACCUAUACCUAUAGGAGAAUUAAUGCUAAAAUAAGUAACUUGGAGCCCUCGCCCCUCUUAAGGCGUAAGCUUACAUCCCACAUUAUUAACAGGCUAACAAGUACCACAAUUUAGACAAGACUAUGUACUAACCUCACCCUGUUACCCCAACACUGGAGCGCCCAUUAGAAAGAUUAAAAUCUGUAAAAGGAACUAGGCAAGCCCAGGGCCCGACUGUUUACCAAAAACAUAGCCUUCAGCCCACCAAGUAUUGGAGGUGAUGCCUGCCCAGUGACAUACGUUUAACGGCCGCGGUAUCCUAACCGUGCAAAGGUAGCGCAAUCAAUUGUCCCAUAAAUCGAGACUUGUAUGAAUGGCUAAACGAGGUCCUAACUGUCUCUUACAGAUAAUCAGUGAAAUUGAUCUUCCUGUGCAAAAGCAGGAAUAAACACAUAAGACGAGAAGACCCUGUGGAACUUUAAAAUCAGUGACCACUGCAUAACCAACACAAACCUAUUAGGCUCACCACCCCAAAAACGCUGGCACACAUUUUUCGGUUGGGGCGACCUUGGAGAAAAACAAAACCUCCAAAAAUAAGACCACCAAUCUUAACCAAGAGCAACAUCUCAACGUGCUAACAGCAAUCAGACCCAAUAUAAUUGACCAAUGAACCAAGCUACCCCAGGGAUAACAGCGCAAUCUCCUUCAAGAGCCCAUAUCGACAAGGAGGUUUACGACCUCGAUGUUGGAUCAGGACAUCCUAAUGGUGCAGCCGCUAUUAAGGGUUCGUUUGUUCAACGAUUAACAGUCCUACGUGAUCUGAGUUCAGACCGGAGUAAUCCAGGUCGGUUUCUAUCUAUGACAAUGCUUCCCCCAGUACGAAAGGACCAGGGAAGCGAGGCCAAUACUAUAAGCACGCCUCCCCCCAAGUAAUGAACUCAACUAAAUUACCAAAAGGGGACCUACCCACUUACCCCAAGAAAAGGGCCG